AUCAAGAUUCUAGAGAAGAGGGAGAACGGAGCGGGCGGUCCUCUAUCGCUCGGCUAAAGCACAACGUACGAGAGAAAAUAGCCCGCUUCCAGGCGCUAAGCCGCCGCUUCGUUCCUCCCCCAGAUCCCGUGCAUCUAUGCCGCCGCCCCCAACCUCUCUUCCUCCGCGCGCCAAAUCCCCCUCUCUCCUGCUAAAAUCGAGUCCUCCCGCUCCAAUCCGUCAUAUAACCCUCCCAAAUCCACUCCCAUGCCACCAAAUUCGUCCCCAAAUCGCCUCCUCUCAAACCCUAGACCCCAAAUUCGUCCUCAAAUCACAUCAAGAUGAGGUGGCAGUCCAAAAGGACGUUUGCACCGGCAUCACUGGAGGUCCCGCCGCCGGCACUAACACAACAGUCCAUGGUGACCUCCUCCUCACCAUGCUUCUCGACGGGUUACAACAACCAGGCAUGGGGAGUGGAUUCUCACCCACUCGGUGGGUUUCUUAAUUUAUUGAAGAAAAACACACCAAGUGGUGCACAAGUUGUGAUCAAUGGUAGUUCAUCGCAGUCAAUCAAUGUUGGCGAUGACACCAAUGUGGCGAUUGCCGAAGACUUAUUUGCCAGUAUUUUGAUUAAUGCUUUUUAGAAAGACUCAUGUAAUGUUUAAGUGGUUGUAUCAUGAUGCUAUAUGUUAUGUGCCAUUGGAUUAUGCUGGCAAUGUUGCUUGAAAACAGUAUCAUCUGGAUAUUAAAAUGACCAAUGUUGCUUGAAGUUGAUUUGUGAUAUGCAUGGAACUCAUAAUUAAUCAAUUAUAUGUUUUCUAA